AUUCUGCUCGCCUGCGACUGCCUGCUCUAUUUCUGGGGACUCGGUUGCCAUGAUGAUCCUGCCGGUAAAGCCCUCUUGACGAAGUGUCUCUGCACACACCAAGGCAGCCACACCUACAAGAGAUGCUCGUCUCAGCCCUCUUACACAUCGCUAUGGAGUAGGAGGAAGAAGUCAGGUCCUCCCUGGAGAAGCGUGGCAGCUCACAGCAUAUGUGGGCAGGGCACAGUACAGGCCACUUCACUGACCUCCCCCCAGCAGCAGCAUCGUGUCCCGGUUGUAGGGGCAUCGCUUGCUUGUGUCCUUCACCCUCCGGCUGUUUUCAAGAUCCUAGAAGAAAAUGAGAAAUGCUGAAAUCAAACCCAGCCCAAGGUGCUGCUUGUGCUUGGUGACAGCAGGUAAGGAUCUGUGCUGGCUGUGAGGGGGAUACCAGGAUGUGUGGCAUCACCUUUGGUUGAAAGGAGCUUUAGGACAGGGAGUUGGAUGAUCCCAAGAAAUCAUCCCAUCUGUAGCUCUGCGCGACCUGGACCCGGGAGCUGUGGCCAGACCAGGGUGCUUCCAGCUGGUGUCAGGGGCACAGAGCUGGUGAGAGUGAAUGAACGUGAGUGGAAUGGAGGAUGUGGCCCAAGCUGGGAGGAGGAAGAGACAAGAAGUCACCUUGAAGCAGGGAAGACAGUCCAGCGAAGGGUAUUCCUCGAUGUCUCCAGUUCGGAUAUUAAAGCAGGAGCCAUGCCAAGGGCAGCGCAGCCUCUCCCCUCUCAAGACUCCUGCAGUAGAAAAGCCCCCCAGAACUGAGCAGAGAGGACUGACCCCCUGCCAUGGCUUCUCCCCCCUGCCCGGUGCCGGCGUUACCUUUGAACCAGAGCUGCUCAGGGACUGGCUUUCUGCCGCGCAGCACGUUCCCAAAUCCAGCAUCGGUGGGGGGAUAAAAUUCCUUUGGUGGGCACGGCCUGGAGAAGAGGGCAUGCACAGGGAUGCUCGGUAAGUGCAACCUGGUUAAUUUGCAAAGCAGCUCGCUUGUCAGACCCGCCAAGCUGUGAGCACACCUUCUUUCAGUGCCGGGUGCCAGGGCGCUGCCGCUUAAGGAGUGAUCUUAGCCCAUGGGCGAUGCACACCCAUGAUGGGCGCAGGUGCGAGGUAUUUUCUCACUGUGCCAACUAGCAGCUUUCAGGCUCUGCCUUCCUGGCCAGCAGCCUGAAUGUGAAGCAAUUUGGCUGCUGAAUGUCCCUGUUUAAACUCUCUGUAAUUACUCCCCAGAAGCAUGUUCCCACGUGGAGAAGCAGCAGCCCUCGUGGAGGCAUUCUCUGACUCGGCAGAAAUUGCUGAAAACGUUUGCUUAUGGAUGAAAGCUGCAGCGCACUGGCAAAGCGGC
rnacentral:lncRNA from 1 species